rnacentral:rRNA from 1 species
CCUACGGGUGGCAGCAGUGAGGAAUAUUGGUCAAUGGACGAGAGGCUGAACCAGCCAAGUAGCGUGAAGGAUGACGGCCCCAUGGGUUGUAAACUUCUUUUAUAAGGGAAUAAAACGAUCCACGAGUGGCAGUUCGUGUGUACUUGAAGAAUAAGCAUCGGCUAACUCCGUGCCAGCAGCCGCGGUAAUACGGAGGAUUCGAGCGUUAUCCGGAUUUAUUGGGUUUAAAGGGUGCGUAGGUGGAUUGUUAAGUCAGUUGUGAAAGUUUGGGGCUCAACCGUAACAUUGCAGUUGAAACUGGCAGUCUUGAGUACAGUAGAGGUGUGCGGAAUUCGGGGUGUAGCGGUGAAAUGCUUAGAUAUCGCGCAGAACUCCGAUUGCGAAGGCAGUUCACCGGCGUGCAACUGACACUGAGGCUCGAAAGUGUGGGUAUCAAACAGGAUUAGAUACCCGAGUAGUC